GGUUCCAUGGUGUAAUGUUUAGCACUCUGAAGCCAGCGAUCCGAGUUCAAAUCUCGGUAGAACCU
rnacentral:tRNA from 1 species